ACAGUGGAUGCGAGCAUCUUUGUGGUCAAGUAAGUAAGGGCACAUGGUGGAUGCCUGGGCAUCAGGAGCCGAUGAAGGACGUGGGAGGCCGCGAUAGGCCUCGGGGAGCUGUCAACCAAGCUGUGAUCCGAGGAUUUCCGAAUGGGGAAACCCGGCCAGAGUCAUGUCUGGUCACCUACACCUGAAUAUAUAGGGUGUGUGGAGGGAACGCGGGGAAGUGAAACAUCUCAGUACCCGUAGGAAGAGAAAACAACCGUGAUUCCGUGAGUAGUGGCGAGCGAAAGCGGAUGAGGCUAAACCGUGUACGUGUGAUACCUGGCAGGGGUUGCGUAUGCGGGGUUGUGGGACCCACCGGUCGAGGCUGCCAUCUCGGCGAGGAGUCAGAAAACAUGGUGUUAGCGGAAGACGUCUGGAAAGCGUCAGCGUAGAGGGUGAUACUCCCGUACGUGAAAGCACUGUGUCUCCUGGAGGGGAUCCCAAGUAGCAGCGAGCUCGUGGAAUUUGCUGUGAAUCUGGCGGGACCACCCGCUAAGCCUAAAUACUCCCUGAUGACCGAUAGCGGACUAGUACCGUGAGGGAAAGGUGAAAAGUACCCCGGGAGGGGAGUGAAAUAGUACCUGAAACCAUGUGCCUACAAUCCGUCAGAGCCUCCGUUGUGGGGUGAUGGCGUGCCUUUUGAAGAAUGAGCCUGCGAGUUAGUGAUACGUGGCGAGGUUAACCCGGGUGGGGUAGCCGUAGCGAAAGCGAGUCUGAACAGGGCGUCAGAGUCGCGUGUCCUAGACCCGAAGCGGAGUGAUCUACCCAUGGCCAGGGUGAAGCGCGGGUAAGACCGCGUGGAGGCCCGAACCCACCAGGGUUGAAAACCUGGGGGAUGAGCUGUGGGUAGGGGUGAAAGGCCAAUCAAACUCCGUGAUAGCUGGUUCUCCCCGAAAUGCAUUUAGGUGCAGCGUCGUGUGUUUCUCAUCCGAGGUAGAGCACUGGAUGGCCGAUGGGCCCGACAAGGUUACUGACGUCAGCCAAACUCCGAAUGCGGGUGUGUGAGAGCGCGGCAGUGAGACUGCGGGGGAUAAGCUUCGUAGUCGAGAGGGAAACAGCCCAGAACGCCGGCUAAGGCCCCUAAGUGUGCGCUAAGUGGAAAAGGAUGUGGGGUCGCCCAGACAACCAGGAGGUUGGCUUAGAAGCAGCCAUCCUUGAAAGAGUGCGUAAUAGCUCACUGGUCAAGUGGUCCUGCGCCGAUAAUGUAGCGGGGCUUAAGCGCACCGCCGAAGCCGUGUCAUUCACAUGUUGAGCUCCAUCUGUCUCCUUUUGGGGGGUGGGUGUAGGUGUGUGGAUGGGUAGGGGAGCGUCCUGCACUGGGUGAAGCAGUCGCGUGAGCGGGUGUGGACGGUGUGGGAGUGAGAAUGCAGGCAUGAGUAGCGAAAGCAGAGUGAGAAACUCUGCCGCCGGAUGACCAAGGGUUCCUGGGCCAGGUUAUUCCGCCCAGGGUAAGUCGGGACCUAAGGCGAGGCCGACAGGCGUAGUCGAUGGACAACGGGUUGAUAUUCCCGUACCCGUGUGGAUGCGUCCCUGGCGAGGCUGGUGAUACUAACCGCCCGUGGUGCUGUCCUGCUUUCGGGUGGGGUGGUGGCCAUGCGCGGGAUCUGAGCUGGUAGUAGCCAAGUGAUGGGGUGACGCAGGAGGGUAGCCCCGCCAGUGAGUGGUAGUACUGGUGUAAGCGUGUAGCCAGGAGAGGUAGGCAAAUCCGCUUCUCUGUUAAUGGUGAGACGUGAUGCAUAGCCGAAUGAGGCGAAGUAGGGUGAUCCCAUGCUGCCGAGAAAAGCCUCUAGCGAGUGUCUACGCGGCCCGUACCCCAAACCGACACAGGUGGUCAGGUAGAGAAUACCAAGGCGAUCGGGUGAACUGUGGUUAAGGAACUCGGCAAAAUGCCCCCGUAACUUCGGGAGAAGGGGGGCCGUGUGGCGUGAAGCCCUUCGCGGGCUAGCGUUGUGUGGCCGCAGAGACCAGGGAGAAGCGACUGUUUAUUAAAAACACAGGUCCGUGCGAAGUCGUAAGACGAUGUAUACGGACUGACGCCUGCCCGGUGCUGGAACGUUAAGGGGACCGGUUAGUCCUUCGGGGCGAAGCUGAGAACUUAAGCGCCAGUAAACGGCGGUGGUAACUAUAACCAUCCUAAGGUAGCGAAAUUCCUUGUCGGGUAAGUUCCGACCUGCACGAAUGGCGUAACGACUUCUCCGCUGUCUCAACCACAGGCCCGGCGAAAUUGCACUACGAGUAAAGAUGCUCGUUACGCGCGGCAGGACGGAAAGACCCCGGGACCUUUACUAUAGCUUGGUAUUGGUGCUCGGUUCGGCUUGUGUAGGAUAGGUGGGAGACUGGGAAGCGGUCACGCUAGUGGUCGUGGAGUCAAUCUUGAAAUACCACUCUGGUCGUACUGGGUGUCUAACCUCGGACCAUGAUCUGGUUCAGGGACAGUGCCUGGUGGGUAGUUUAACUGGGGCGGUUGCCUCCCAAAGGGUAACGGAGGCGCCCAAAGGUUCCCUCAGCCUGGUUGGCAAUCAGGUGUUGAGUGUAAGUGCACAAGGGAGCUUGACUGUGAGACUGACGGGUCGAGCAGGGACGAAAGUCGGGACUAGUGAUCCGGCACUGGCUGGUGGAAGCGGUGUCGCUCAACGGAUAAAAGGUACCCCGGGGAUAACAGGCUGAUCUUGCCCAAGAGUCCAUAUCGACGGCAUGGUUUGGCACCUCGAUGUCGGCUCGUCGCAUCCUGGGGCUGGAGUAGGUCCCAAGGGUUGGGCUGUUCGCCCAUUAAAGCGGCACGCGAGCUGGGUUUAGAACGUCGUGAGACAGUUCGGUCCCUAUCCGCCGCGCGCGUUGGAGACUUGUGGAAGGCUGUCCCUAGUACGAGAGGACCGGGACGGACGAACCUCUGGUGUGCCAGUUGUACCGCCAGGUGCAUGGCUGGUUGGCUACGUUCGGAAGGGAUAACCGCUGAAAGCAUCUAAGCGGGAAGCCUGUUCCAAGAUGAGGUCUCCCACCCACUUUGUUGGGGUAAGGCCCCCAGUAGACGACUGGGUUGAUAGGCUGGAGAUGGAAGCACGGUAACGUGUGGAGUUGACCGGUACUAAUAGGCCGAGGGCUUGUCUAC
rnacentral:rRNA from 1 species